rnacentral:rRNA from 1 species
GACGAACGCUGGCGGCGUGCUUAACACAUGCAAGUCGAACGGUGAAGGCGGAGCUUGCUCUGCUGGUUGAGUGGCGAACGGGUGAGUAACACGUGAGCAAUCUGCCCCUGACUCUGGGAUAAGCUCUGGAAACGGCGUCUAAUACUGGAUACGAGCUGCGACGGCAUCUUGAGCGGCUGGCAGUUACGUCGGUCGGGGAUGGGCUCGCGGCAUAUCAGCUUGUUGGUGAGGUAGCGGCUAACCAAGGCGUUGACGGGUAGCCGGCCUGAGAGGGUGACCGGCCACACUGGGACUGAGACACGGCCCAGACUCCUACGGGAGGCAGCAGUGGGGAAUAUUGCACAAUGGGCGGAAGCCUGAUGCAGCAACGCCGCGUGCGGGACGACGGCCUUCGGGUUGUAAACCUCUUUUGGCAGGGAAGAAGCGAAAGUGACGGUACCUGCAGAAAAAGCGCCGGCUAACUACGUG